CAGUUCAUGUUUAUAUAUUAAAUAAUUUAUAAGUAUUCAAUGGAAGAAAACCCAAUGUUGUGGAAACUUAAAUGGAAUAAGAAAAACCAAGAAAUAAAAAUAGAUAUUAGAAUUUAUGAGGAUACCUAAAAAUCCGAAAUUGAAGGAAAACUGAUCCACCAAAAUUUAAACUUCUAAACUUUUAUCUAUUUAAUGACAAAAAAAAAGUAAAUCAAACUAAAAUGUCUCAAACAUAAAACUGAAACCUUCUGCCCUAAAAAAUUAGUCGGCGGCACCUCUCUUCUCCGGUUUGAGCAUCUUCCUGAGUAGUUGUCAGCCACCGAUUCACCUAUUCAGCCUUGCUUACUUAAAAGUCAACCUAGGAUGGGCUUCAUGGUAAAUUAAGAAGAUUUGAGGGACCACAGAAGGUUGACGCCUCAACAGAUGGGAAUGGAAUGGUAAUGUGAAGGUGGAGGUGAAAGUGGUUGGCCAUGCAAUGUUUGAUACUUCUAAAGUAGAGAAUAUCAUGGUUUUCAUUUUAGAAUCAUCAAAUUCUACCAAAGGGAAGAGACAGCUUCUUAAGCAAUAUGAAUUUCAUUCCCCUAAUCAACAAUAUUUAGCCCGUUAAUGGUACUUAAUCAUCUAUCAGGUCAACUUUUUCAGAACUUUUAUGCAUUAAAUGACCGCUUUCUAUGCCGAUUUUCCUGCAAACAAUCUUUCUUUUCUUUCCAGACAUGAUUAAAGGCAUGUUUUUGGCUGUAGUUAUUGGACCACCUGUUGUGGUUGCCAUCAUUUUAAUAGUACAGGGAACCAAAAGUGAGGACUUUUUUUCCCCCUGACACUUGAAAUAACAAGGUAAGGAGAGAAUUCUAAACAUUCUGGAAACUUUAAAAGAAGAGGGAAAUAGGGUCUUGUUCAAUGCUUUAGCUGUGUUUGCUCUAAGGGAGAUCAACUUAUCAAAAGUAAGUUACUGUUUCACCCUUUUAUUUAAUAUUUUUGUGAUUGAAUGAAAGUCUUAAUGAAAGUGAUUGACAACCCUUUCUCUGUAAACGAUGUUGUGAUUGUGGGAGAGGUGUUGUGUUUUUCUCUGUUGCUAGGUAACCUUCUCAACAACAACAUUCUACUUAAGCAGGUGAGUAAUCAAGAUUAAGGGAGACUUGUAAUCAUGUUUGACAUUCUUUUCCAGUAAGAAAUAGAGUUGUAUGAUUAUUUGUUAGUUUUAUAGGAAUGUAUAACCCAUGUUAGCAAUGUAUUAUUUUUGUUUAACAUUUGAAUGAUUCUUUGUAUGACAUUACAAUUUGUGUAAUUUAUUUUAUUUUUUGAGUAUGAAAU